ACCUUCAAAAACAGUUGUCCUGUCCUAGGAUUGAAAAUGAAAAUUGCACCAUUUAUGGGCUUUGUCGUCAGAUUUCCCUCAAAGGUCUUGUGGAUGGUCACUCGGUACACAUUUGUGUCAUCAACAAACCAUAUAAUUUGAUUGCUGAAAAUCUCUCCAUAAUUCUGAGAUGAUAAGUAUGGUUCUGUGGGCUCCUUAGAGGACAAUGGAGUUUGCCCAAGAGUAAACAAGAAAAUUACGGUCGAACAACUGCAUUUACCUUCAAAAACAGUUGUCCUGUCCUAGGAUUGAAAAUGAAAAUUGCACCAUUUGUCAUAGAGGACAAUGGAGUUUGCCAAAGAGUAAACAAGAAAAUUACGGUUGAACUGCAUUUACCUUCAAAAACAGUUGUCCUGUCCUAGGAUUGAAAAUGAAAAUUGCACCAUUUAUGGGCUUUGUCGUCAGAUUUCCCUCAAAGGUCUUGUGGAUGGUCACUCGGUACACAUUUGUGUCAUCAACAAACCAUAUAAUUUGAUUGCUGAAAAUCUCUCCAUAAUUCUGAGAUGAUAAGUAUGGUUCUGUGGGCUCUGAAGAAUACAGUUGCAACCCUUUCCUUAUGCGUUCCCUCAGAACAUAGAGGGCAGGAUUUGACUGCAUAAUGGAACUUAAGGAUGUUAAGAAACUUUCAGCUGCAACAUAUACUACACACAAACCAGUUCUUGAAAAUAAUGGAUGAUUGGAAGGGGAAAAAUACCUUCAUAAUCUUGUUCAUGGCUUGGGCAAGCAAUGGUUUUGAACCAGGGAACCAGUUACCAAAGGCGGAAUGCAAGUUGUAAGCAAGGUCAAGUCCAAUCAUUACACCUGCAAAAAAGAAAUAACUAUUGACUUUCUGAAAAGGGGAAUAAAUUCAGUUGAUCACUAGAUGCACACGUGACAUACCAGUAGGAGAUGGAUAAAUAGACAUGUUGUCCGUUGUGUAAUCCAAUUGCAACCCUUUCCUU
rnacentral:lncRNA from 1 species